GGGUCUCGUGCUCUGUUGUGUUACCUGCUCUCCGCCACCUGACCCGCACCAUGGAGGUCUCAGAUGACGACCCAGCCUAUGUGGUGAGGUUCAAGGCUGCCUUUAAAAAGGACCUGUCUCAACGCCAAGAUGCACUCAACCAUGGAUGGCUCAGGGUGGCUACAGCACUCGACCCGCGCUUUAAGGACCUAAAGUGUCUACCAAGAGGAGAGCGAGGAGGGGUGUGGACCAGCGUUGAGGCACUGCUGC